rnacentral:tRNA from 1 species
GCUCCCAUCGUCUAGCGGCCAAGGACGACUGGUUUUCAGCCAGUAAAUCAGGGGUUCGAAUCCCCUUGGGAGCACAA